rnacentral:rRNA from 1 species
CCUGGCUCAGGAUGAACGCUAGCGACAGGCUUAACACAUGCAAGUCGAGGGGCAGCACAGGUAGCAAUACCGGGUGGCGACCGGCGCACGGGUGAGUAACGCGUAUGCAACUUGCCUAUCAGAGGGGGAUAACCCGGCGAAAGUCGGACUAAUACCGCAUGAAGCAGGGGCCCCGCAUGGGGAUAUUUGCUAAAGAUUCAUCGCUGAUAGAUAGGCAUGCGUUCCAUUAGGCAGUUGGCGGGGUAACGGCCCACCAAACCGACGAUGGAUAGGGGUUCUGAGAGGAAGGUCCCCCACAUUGGUACUGAGACACGGACCAAACUCCUACGGGAGGCAGCAGUGAGGAAUAUUGGUCAAUGGGCGUAAGCCUGAACCAGCCAAGUCGCGUGAGGGAUGAAGGUUCUAUGGAUCGUAAACCUCUUUUAUAAGGGAAUAAAGUGCGGGACGUGUCCCGUUUUGUAUGUACCUUAUGAAUAAGGAUCGGCUAACUCCGUGCCAGCAGCCGCGGUAAUACGGAGGAUCCGAGCGUUAUCCGGAUUUAUUGGGUUUAAAGGGUGCGUAGGCGGCCUUUUAAGUCAGCGGUGAAAGUCUGUGGCUCAACCAUAGAAUUGCCGUUGAAACUGGGGGGCUUGAGUAUGUUUGAGGCAGGCGGAAUGCGUGGUGUAGCGGUGAAAUGCUUAGAUAUCACGCAGAACCCCGAUUGCGAAGGCAGCCUGCCAAGCCAUGACUGACGCUGAUGCACGAAAGCGUGGGGAUCAAACAGGAUUAGAUACCCUGGUAGUCCACGCAGUAAACGAUGAUCACUAGCUGUUUGCGAUACACUGUAAGCGGCACAGCGAAAGCGUUAAGUGAUCCACCUGGGGAGUACGCCGGCAACGGUGAAACUCAAAGGAAUUGACGGGGGCCCGCACAAGCGGAGGAACAUGUGGUUUAAUUCGAUGAUACGCGAGGAACCUUACCCGGGUUUGAACGCAUUCGGACCGAGGUGGAAACACCUUUUCUAGCAAUAGCCGUUUGCGAGGUGCUGCAUGGUUGUCGUCAGCUCGUGCCGUGAGGUGUCGGCUUAAGUGCCAUAACGAGCGCAACCCUUGCCACUAGUUACUAACAGGUUAGGCUGAGGACUCUGGUGGGACUGCCAGCGUAAGCUGCGAGGAAGGCGGGGAUGACGUCAAAUCAGCACGGCCCUUACAUCCGGGGCGACACACGUGUUACAAUGGCGUGGACAAAGGGAAGCCACCUGGCGACAGGGAGCGAAUCCCCAAACCACGUCUCAGUUCGGAUCGGAGUCUGCAACCCGACUCCGUGAAGCUGGAUUCGCUAGUAAUCGCGCAUCAGCCAUGGCGCGGUGAAUACGUUCCCGGGCCUUGUACACACCGCCC